rnacentral:lncRNA from 1 species
AUGUGGACAAAUUUAUCUUCUUUAUAGUAUUUGUGGGUGGUGUUUUAUAUGAGAAAUUAAAAGUUUGUAGUGUAAAGAGUUUCUUUGAAGUUUAAUUUUAGUUCACUGUAAUUAAAUAUUUUAAUUGUUAAUUCAAAUUUGAUAUUUAAAAUUUAUAAAUUUAAAUUUUUUAAAAUUUAAUUUUGAUCUACUGUAAUUGAAAUUUUUUAAUUGUUAUUACAAAUUUGAUAUCCAAAAUUAAAUUCAAUUCAUGAUUUAAACUCAAAUUUUUAAUUUUAAUAAAAUCUAUAGAUAGGAAUAACAGAUUGAUCACAACAGAUAAUUUUUAUUUGAAAUAUAUUUUAACAAAUUAAUCAUAACCAUUCAUAGGAUUUGACAUAUUGAUGAAUAAGAAUGCUAUUUUUAACAGACUGAUCACAACCAUUCAUUUUUAUUUGACAUAUUUUUCAACAAACUGAUUACGUAAGGAAUAUUCGUUUAUUCCUUUUUGGAUUCCGUCUGUUGGAAUUUCUAUACGUUUUUAUAUAUAGAACUAGUUGAGUGUACGUGCAAAUACAUGUAACAGUUAUUUUAAUUUAUUUUAAAUCAAUAUAAAUUUGCACAUUAUAUUUAUUUAAAAAUUUAUAAUUUAUAAAUUCAUAUGUUAUAUUUUAUUAGAAAAUAUUUGUAAUAUUUUAUAUUUUUCUUUCUUUAUAUACAUUAAAUAUUUUUAUAUAUUUUUUAUUUUCUGAUGAUCUAAAAUUUAAACAUAUGUUGUAAACAAAAAGCAUCAAAAUUUAAUUCAUAUUUAUUUCAAAAUUUAAAAUUUAAUUUUGAUUCAUUAUAAUUAAAUUUUUUGGAUAAAAAUGCUAUUUUUUAAUAGAUUAAUCAUAACCGUUCGUUUUUAUUUGAGAUUUUUUUAAUUAAGUGAACUGCUCAAUUUUAACUGACACAACCGUUCGUAAGAUUGAAUUUAUAGAUUGAUAAGAAUGCUAUUUUUAACAAAUUAAUUAUAACCGUCUGUUUUUAUUUAAUAUUUUUUAAUUAAGUGAUCAUACCAUUCAUAGAAAAUAUACGGAAUAUUUUUUUAUUCUUUUUUGGAUUCCUUUACAGAUGAAUAAGAAUGCUAUUUUUUAAUAAAUUAAUCAUAACCGUUCGUUCUUAUUUAAAAUUUUUUGUAGGAAAUAUAGAAAAAUAUUCUUUUAUUUUUUUUGGAUUCCGUCUAUCAUGGUAGGAAUUCUUAUACAUUUUUAUAUACGCUUUUAUAGAUGGUAUAUAGAUUUUGGAUUCCGUUUGUCGGAAUUCUUAUACGAUUUUACAUAUAGUAUAGAUAUGGAUAGAUAUCUAUAUCCAUAUCUAUAUCUAUAUCUAUAUCUAUUUAUAUCUAUAUCUAUACUAUAUAUAAAAACGUAUAGAAAUUCCGACAAUAACAGACGGAAUUGCAAAAGAAAUAAAGUAAUAUUUCCUAUGGAUGGUUAUGAUUAAUUUGUUAAAAAUAUCUCAAAUAAAAACGAACGGUUAUGAUAAAUCUAUUAAAACUCUACUAUAUAUAUAAAUUAUUCCCAACAAAUAAAAACGAACGGUUAUGAUAAAUCUAUUAAAAGUUCAAAUUCUUUCCUCUGUAGUCUCAAUUGAGAGGAGGAAUAAUUGAACUAUCAUCAAAGAGCACGCUUCACUAGAGAACAAAAAAUUAGCCAAAAUACUAAUAUCAAAACAGAGAAAUUAAAGAAUACUAUGAUAAUAGAAUCUGAAAAAUGCGAAUGGAAAACUGUUCACCAAACAAGAGCUUAAAACAAAAAAAAGCUCAAAACCAGUCAGUAGGCCUAACAAACCUAAUCAAACAUUAUAAGAAAAAAGAUAUCUUUUUUACUUCAGAAACCACAAGAUCUAUAGCCAACCAACUCCACAAAAACCAAUGUUUAAAUCAAACAAAAAGCACCACCAGAUCCAAAAGACCCUCUUGGAUCUCUCCACCUUCAGAGAUGGUGCUCUGGAUCUGGGCACACUUGACGACACAUUUCAUCGAUAAAAGUCCACUAAAUUGUACAACAAAUUCUUGGCAACAAUAUUACUUAAUAAUAAUGAGACAGAAUUACCUUGGUAUCUAUACUAACUGGAUGUUGCACAAUAUAAAACUUCUUAUUUUCUUAACUGCAUUGAAAUGCUUUUUGUGAAUUAUAAACCAAAAAGUUAAACUUUUCAAAUACUAGAAAAGUCAACUGAAUCAAAUGUAACCCACCCAGUAGAAAUCAACAAAUACAUUCUUAAACAAUUCAGAACCACACAAGAAUGGUAGCAAGUGAGACCCUGCAUAGAUUGGCCCUAAAUUUCAAAUCAUUACUAAGAGGAACAUAUCAGAGUUAAGCCAGUAACAUGAGCUUGUAUCCACAUGCUUUAUUUUCUUAGCAAAGAUAACCCCAAUGCCAACUAAGAUCAACCAAUGCAGCUAAAACAGAAAGUGCAAAAGAAUUUUAACAGCACCUCUGCUCAAAUCCAAAACAAGCUGCUCUCUUGGGCCCCAAUCUGACUUCUUUACUAAAGACUAAACUGUCAAAAACAGAUGAAACAUACAUCUCCAAAAAAGAAACUAAAGAAAACUAUAGCGAUAAUAGAAACUAUUUAGGAAUUACUUACUAAAGAAAUUUUAUAGAUCGAUGAGUAAGAGUUACGCAAGCACUGGCAGUUUACAAAAUUAAAUAAUAUCUAUUUCUCGCAACUAUAAAGGAUAGCAAAUUGGUUGAACAACUAAAAUCAGCACAUCACUGUAUUUCAACUGUCUUCAAGACAACUACCAAUCAGAAAUCCAUAUAAGCGGUAUAAGUAUAUAAAAGUGGCAACAUAUUUACCCAAGCCUUUUUACACUAUAAAUAAUAAGAAAUCUACCUUUUACGAACUAGCAGUGGACUUAAGCCUGCAGAAGUCAACAAUGAUACUAUCAUCUAUCCCAAGAAAUGUUAUAGCUUGGAACAUUUUGGGUUCGGCUUCACCAUCUGCUGCUCGAAAAGUAAGACGAUACUCCAAUCCCGAUGCAAUAAUGCAAGUUAUCUUCUCUAACUUCAAAAACUCAUAGCUCGUAUUCUGCAUUAAAAAAGAAAUUCCGAAAGAAAUUAUAACAAAAAAGAGAAAAAAGAUAAAAAGAAAGAAUAAAAAGGAAAAUAGAUAAGGCACUAUAAAUAUACAUUCUCACUGUUAAAACGUUCAAUAGCUGCUUUUGCACAUUUGAUGAUGGGCUCGGAAUCAUAACCGUCUACCCCUCUAAGACCAAGCUCCAAAUCGCUCGUAAACGGAUCAACGUCAAAUCCCUAUAAAACAUACUUACAAUUAGUAUGGAAAAAGAUUUCAAACCUUAAUUCUCAAAAGGAUGUUGAUAAAUAUUAAAUUACCUCGCUUUCCUCAAUUUGUUUAUAAUAUCUAGCCCAUUCUUCGCGGGUCCUUCUGCGCUCACCAUUUGGCCAGACGUAAUCGUCAUCCUCUCCCGACGAAUACUCAUAAUCCACAAUAUUCUUUUUCUUCUUAUUCUUUUCCUCUAAUUCUUCAUAUUUUCCACACCGAUUCUUUUCCCCUACUUCACAUUUUCCACGCCUACAGGUCUCCUCCUCCUCUUUCUUCUCCUCAUGCAGUUUCAUCAUUUUUUGCGGUGAUUCUUCAAGUAUCACCUGCUCAGCAUUUUUCCUACAUAAAGGAAUUAAACAUAUUAAUAUAUAUUAAUCUUUUUGUAUUUUACACAUUUUACUAAAGACUGUUUGUGCAAAAAGUAAAAGUAGAAGCACAAGCGAGACUAAAGAGUUCCUUAUGCUUGAUACUUGAUAAACGUGUGGUAACGGUGCUACAUAAAGACCUUCUACAGGAAUUAACCAGCACAUCUAACACAACUAGGCUGCAGUUUUUCUAAGCUCCAUUGAAAACAUAUAAUAAAUCCAGAUUGUUGUUGUUGUUGUGUGUGUGUGUGUCAUUUGACAUAACAUGACACAACUAGGCUGGAUAUGUUAUGCAGGUUUUUGUAUUGUGUAUAUGUGCUGUAAAGUAUAAUCUACUUUGUAUAACUGAAACAACACUUUUAUUGUAAAAUGACUAAACAAAUAACAUGUGACCUGUUCACGCUGUUCCUAUCUGCCUUUAUUUACUAACAACUAUCCAGGGCAUUAUGAUGAAAUUUAUGAUUAAAAUCUGAAUUCUCCAAUUCUUCACAAUCUCUUUUUUGCACAAUUUUGAUUGGCUUCACAAAAAUUGGCAGAGACAUUAGUGCACUCUAUCCUCGAGCCGUGUGAAGAUGCUGAUUUCACAUUUCCAGUGAAUUUUAACCUCGGAGAGCAUACUAUGUAGACUUGUUGUCAUCCUUACCUCGAGGAUUUCUUAGAGUGGGUCACUAACCUAUUCGAGACAAUUAUUUUCACAGCUAGUCAGAGCAUCAAUGAAGAGCAGCUUCUUAACAUUCUUGAUCCGGAAAGAAAAUUAUUCUGCCACCAUGUCCUACAUCUCUUGGAGGGCAACUACUUCAAGGACCUAUCAAUUCUUGGUUGUGACUGACUCGUGUUACAGCGUUGUUGAUAAUUCCUCUCAGGUUUUCAUUUUUUUUACAUCGCCUAGCCUAAUUUUGCAAGACUCUUUUUUUGCAGCCCUGUUUUUCAUUCAUUCUUUUUUAAAUUUUUGGGUUGGCUUUUACUUCACUUGCUUCUACAAUAAUGCUGCUCUAAGUUUUUCUUUUUCUAUUCUUCUUUAGGGGUGUUUGAGGCCGUUUUACCUCGCUUCAGUUAAUUUAGAGGGAAGAGCAGAAUAAUUUGCUAUAUGUUGCCAAUUCCAGAUUAAAAACUGUAACCAAACACAGUAGCUGCUCAAAGUUUAGCGUAAUUUCAGAUAUGAUUUCUAUGCUGACUUACAUAGAGGUGUGGAAUUACCACACCAAGUAAUCUUGUGGACUAGUAGCUAUACAAGAGUAAGGCUAAUCGAUGCAUAAAUAUUCACUACUUGAUGCAUUAAACACAGUUGUAACAUUCUACUUAUCUCUUAAUGCAAAAUGUAGUAAUUAAGAUUUUCUUUACUUGAUUUCAAUUAACGUUCUGCUUAGCUCUUAAUGCACUAAACUUGCUCGUAAUCUUACUGUUGAAACAAUAGUUGAUCCACUUGCUUACUAUUGCAUUUUUGUUUUGUAGGUCCUUCUAGGUUGAGGAAAUACUCGAGUGCCCAGAUUGAAAUUUUAGGCUUUUGGAAGUUAACUGGGAUUUUUUUUUUUUUUGGGGUUAAACUAUAGGAAUUUAGUGCCAUCUAGAACAGAUUUAUUAAACUAAUAUUUUGUAAUAGAAUUUUUGAUUAUUAAGGUUGUAUAUGAAAGCGAAGCAGUAUUUGUCAUAAAAAUUUUAUAAACAAGCUUUGAUGAUAAACGCAUUUUCUAUAUUAAAUUUUAUUAUUCAUUAGCUAUGGAUGAGGCAUUUUGACUAUUGUCAAAAUAGUAGCAAUAAUUAAUACUUUAUUAUCCUUUGAUUUAUAUGUUUUGACAAUUGUAAAUUUGUAAUUAUCUACAAUAUAUCUGCCUUACCAAACACUAGUAGAUGCAGCUAGACCCAGAUAUAGUGGCAUUGUAACAAAUGGCGAUUAUAAUCGAUAGCAACGCAGAGAAUAAUCGCCGCUAAAGAUUAAUUUGCUCGCAGCGAAAAAUAUAUAUAGUCCUACUCUAAAAGUCUAAAUUAGAUUCUGAGAUUUUACAUGAUUUUACUUUAAAUACAUAUUUAUUAUUUCAUUAAGAAACAGAUUCAAAAAACAAAUUAAUCUCUAAAACACAAUAUUAACAGUACCAGUAAUAACAUUAAAAAAAAAAAAAAAUCAACAGGUUUGGUUUCCGGUUGUGCUCUGUUUAACAUCGAUCCUAAUCAUACAUAUUGCAACUGAAACAAAUUUGUAUACGUAUAGAAUAUAGCAAAUAUAAACGUGUAUACCUUCUCCAGCUGAAGACGGUCCUCAGGACCAUAGUUAGUUAAUUCGGAUUCGGCAAAAAUUCGGUAUGGGUAUAAUUCGGAUAAAAUUCGUCUUCUAAUUUUUAAAUUCGUUGAAAAAAAACGGCUAGAAAACGGAUUCGCCAAUUAUUCGGAUACGUGAUUUAUACGGAUAUUAUUCGUUCACCAAUUAAAAAUUCGGGAUCAAAAAUUCGGCUAUUAAAUUAAAUUUUUUUCCUCUCAAGAUUUAUGCUAUUAGCAUAAAUACUCAUAUUUUUUAAGAAUAUAAGAAUAAAAAGCUACAAAAUUAAACUAAUUAAGUAAAAAAAUAGUAAACUAUAUUAUGCCUCAAAAUAAAGAAAUAAUUAAGCAAAUAAGAGAUCAAGAUAGUCCAUAUUUAAAUGUAAAAGCUUCCAACUUUUGCUUUGAAGAAUGAAAACUCAAAUAGUACCUGGUCCCAAAGUUAUGUUUCAAAAAUUAAGUAGAAACCCCAGUGAGUCAAUGGUCCAUGAAAGACCACAACAAAAUUUUCCUUUUGCAAGAGUCGACAAAGAUCAUGAAAUUGAUUAGGUAUAAUACAAGAGUUCCUGGUCCCAAAGUUAAUUAAGAUUAUUUAUUUAGCACUAUGUUUGGGUCUUCUUUGUGCAUAACAGAGAAUGGACACAUUCAAUUAAGCACUCAGCCACUUGUGUAUAAAACAAGUAUCCAUCAGAUGACUAAAACCUUCCAACUUUUUCUUUGAAGAAUGAAAAAAACUCAAAUCGUACCUACCUGGGUUUGUAAAGAACCACCCGGUUACUGAUCUAUCGUCGGAUAGCGGAAGCGGAAGCGGAAGAGGAAGAGGCGACGAGGAGGGUUUCGAUUUCUGAAGAGUGAAGAACCCGAUCUUCGAUCUUCGAUUUCUGAAGAGGAGGGCUUCCGAUGGCGUUCGGCGAGCGGCCGGAAGGGAAGAGGGAGACCGCCGCAGGGGUCGAUGGCAGGGCCGCACCGCCGCAGGAGUGAGAAGUUAGGGCAAACCCUUUUUUUGGGAGGGGUGGGGGUGGGAGCGUGGGAGUCGUCGCCUCGUGGGAGGGGGGCGAUGGUUUUCAGAAAUCCUUUCUUUUCUUUUUUCUUUUUUUUUUUUUUUUUUUGGGGCGACAGGUUCUUUUUCCUGUUUUGGGCCACCGCGAGGCCCACAAGUCCGCUCACAGUCGCAAGCAAGAGGGCCGUUUUUCUGGGCCGAAUUAUUCGCGAAUUCCGUUUUAUUCGCGAAUAAUUAUUUUUGCUCAAAAAAACCGCGAAUUAUUUCGAAUUUUUGGCAAAAAUUCGAAAACGGGUGUUUAAUUCGGCAUUUCAAAAAUUCGCAAAUAAUUCGCGAAUAAUUCGCGAAUUAACUAUGCUCAGGACGUCCAUGACGACAGAAGGACGGCGGACGGCGAACGGCGGACAGCAGACGGCGGGCCGCCGACAGCGGAUGGCGGAGCGCAGCCGGCGGCAGAUGGCGGAGCGCGGCCGGCGGACCGGGGCCGGCGGAUGGCUGCCGGCGGCGCAGAGGGAGAAGGGAGUAGUCUUGGCGCCUCGCCGGCGAUGAGAGAGAGAGAGAGAGGCGAGGAAGAGGUGGUUUUUGCGAAGCGAUCGAUGAAGGUCGGUGCAAGCUUGGUUUCGUCUCGUCUCGUCUCCGUUGCGUGGGUCGUACGUGCGCCGCGGUCGAAUUAUAUUUAAAUAUUAUAGUAAAUUUAAAUCCAUAUUAGAGAAAAAUGGAUUCAGAUACGUGUGGGAAAUCAAACAAAUACGAAUAUGAAUCAGGUUUUUACGAAUAUAUAUUUAAUACUUCUAAAUUUAUUUAGAAAAGAAAAAAAAUUAAAAUAAUGUUAAAUAUGUGGAUAUGUAUAAUAGCAAAGCAGUUUUCGAUUCGCAUUAGGAUAAUCCGAAUUCAAAUUUGAAGAAAAAUAGUAAAACUGAAUUUGCCCCCCGAAAAAAAAAAUUUCUAACUCAAAAUCUAAAUAUGAAUACAAAUAGGAUAGUAAAAUCCUAAUACAUAUCGGAUAAACAAAUAAAAAAUACUUCAAAUACUACUCCUGUGAUUUUAUAUUUUCUUACUUUAGUACCAUAUAGUUUAAAGCGUAUCACUUUUAUACUCUACAAUUUUAUUUUUCUCUUUUUAUUAUUCCUUCCGUUAAUUUUUUUUUUGUUAAACCAGUGGCAAAGUUAAAACUAAAGAGUACUAAAAUAAAUAUUCGGUAAACUAUAGACGGAUUAUCUGAAAUUUUUUGUAUAUGAUUUAACGAAAAGUUAACGGAAUCACUGGCGAAAAGAAAAAAAUAAAUUAUAAGAUAUUAAAUUGAUAAACCUUAUAGGAUACUAAAGUGAAAAAAAUAUGAAAUUACAUGAUGGUAUUUGUAGUUUACCUAAAAAAAACGCAAUAUAUAUAUAUAUAUAUAUAUUGUAAAAAGGUGAAAGGUGGGUUUCCAAAUUAGGAGAUACACCUCAACGGCGCUGUGAUUCCACCGUACUCUGUGGUUUUGGCUCUUGCGCACGAACGAGACCGCAAGUUAUCGAUUCCCUUUUUUUUUGCAAACCGUCUCUCUCUGUGAUCGCCGGCAAGACACCCCGCGAUCUUCUCUUCCUUCUCCCUCCCCGCCGCCGGCAGUCAGCCGCCGUCUGCCGUCCGCCGUCCUUCUCUCGUCACUGACGUCUUGAGGGUAAAUAUUCAGUUGGCGAAGGUAUAUACAUACAUAUACAUGAGUUAUAUUGUAUACAAAUAUGCAAUGUUCUACCGAUUGUUCGGGGUGCAAGUGGCAAAGAGUUUGAUGGUUGGUAUCCGGCGUCCUAAAAAUUUGAAUCCUAAUUAGUUCACAUUUUCAGCUAAAUUUAUUUUUUAAAUAAAUUAAACGAAAUAGAUAGCAUGCUAUCUUUCUCUCAAAAAAAAAAAAAAAAAAAAUCUAGAAGUAUAUAAAUUUCAGUGGCAAUAACUAAUAACUAAUUAGGAUGCUAAAUAGAAUCGAUAAUCAAACCUGUUGAAUUAUUUGAGUUUGAAUUGAUUAGGAUUUCGUAAUUUACUUUUAAUUUGUUUUAGAGAUUUGCUUUAGAAUUCAGUCUAGGAUUAUGUUUUGAAAACUAUAAAUAAAUUAUAUCGCUUGUAACUUAGGGGAGAGAAUUCUUGAGGAUUAAAAAUUGGUUUAUGAAUUUCAGUCACCGGUCAUGUUCUUUCUUUUUUUUUUUCUUUCGCCGUGUAUGCGGGGGAAAUUCUUCUUCAAGUUCUAUUCUUUCUUUUCUUUCUCACCUUUCCUUUAUAUUCUUUAUUUUCCUCUUAUUCUUCUUCUCUAAUUUUUAGAAAAUCUUUACAAAAUUUUCUAUAUUUUCAUUAAAUUUGCUUUGAUUUUUAGUUAUUUCUCUAAUUCUUUGAAUAAUAAAAAGUAUUUAGAAUACUCUGAAAGGGAAAGUAUAUAAAAUUCUGCUGUGGUGCUAUAUUAUUUUACUUUAUCAUUGCCAAAAAUGACGAUUAGGAUGGUAAUUAGUAGAAGAAAUUAAUUUUUUCCUGUUAGACAUGAUUAAAGAAAAUGUUAUAUCAUUUCAUCGCUCCAUAGGCAGAUACUUUUAUAUAU